rnacentral:lncRNA from 1 species
CUCAUACCCCAGAUGAGGGAGCUGACUCUCACUGUCGCCGGAAGUCCCACCUGCCAGAAGGCGUAGAACAACAUGGUUCUGCCUGGCACUGCGUGCUGAAGAAAUACCCCUGGAUCAUUAUCAUCCCCCUCAGAUGGCUCGCUGCAAGAUCUACCAUCAAAGGGAGGUCCGGCCACUGCACCCCGAGGAAAGGGCUGCUUUCGGCACUCUGCGUGGAGGUCCUGGCUUCUGCCGUCCCUGGAGGCUCCGUUCCCGUUUCGCCAGCUAUUUUGCUGCCUCGGCCAUCUGUUCCCUCCCUGUCAUCUCCUCUCUGCUUUAACCUUAACCACUACUUCACUGCAGAUGGUACCAGGCAGUUCUGCUCUCGACAUCCUUCACGACGCCUGGCCCUCCUUCUCAUCUCCAGCAAGUGAACCGCUCUGUCCUUUUUAAAGCCUCAUCCCAAAGACACGGCCAGAGCUUGGAGUUGGAUUCGCCCCACACAACUCCCCCUCUUUGAUGCCAUCUGCUUUCAACUCCACCACUGGCCAGGGGCAAACACCUACCCCUUCCCCUGCCUUUUCCUCCUGAGACUUCUUCUCAAACUCGGCCAAGAAGCUCUCCUGGCAUGGACAGCGUGUCUGCUCCGGGUCUCUACCUGGUCUCCAUCAACAGAGCCAUGUAACCGCCCAGAGGGCUCCAGGUCCGCAAGCUGAGGCGGAGGCCAGAAACUCUGAAGUUCACUCCUACUGUGGAGGAACGAGGGCUCGUGCUGGGAGUUUGGGUCAUGAACAGUUUCCCUGUAGAAAAUGGACCUGAACACUCUGCAGUAAGGAAUUGUUUCCCAUGCUGGCAUGGUGGGAACCGAACCAAAACACAUUUUCUAUGUUGUCUGAGCUCACAGGGAACAUCCCUCUGCUGUCCUUGCUGUUAUUCUGGCAUGCUGGUGAGAAAAUGCAUGCAUGGGCUUUACUUAGCAACUCGCUCUGCCUCUCCUCUCUGUCAGGGCGCUCCCCUAAAAUCUCUCCUCUUGACGUCUUUUUUCUGGCAUAAGGACCCGGAGCUUUGAGGAGCGCAGCAGCCCAGAAGCUCCUAAGGAGAGAAGCUGUUUUGGUGAGAUUGGUUCCACCAGGCUACAUGCCUUGACUGGGACAGAAAUGGGCUGGGAAGGCCGAAAUUUGACUUCUGCACCUGGAUUUGGGCUAAAAAGUCUCACAGCUCAGCCUCCUUGAUAAGGGUUCUUCUAUCUCCCCUCUAUACUUCCUCUGCAGCAGAAAAGAGUAUCUUGGCCGUGCAGGGAACGCUCUUCUCUCACUCUCGCCACUGGGGUUAAGGGCAGCUACAUUACUAUAGCUCCAAGUCUUGGUUGCCCCCAGAGAGAGGCAGAGAUGUAGCCUGCCCACAUCUGGACACUUGAAGACUCUCCAAACACCUAGAGGAGCUGUGGAUUCAAGUGAAGCAACCAUCUGAUGCCACCACGGUCCCUCCUUCCCUUUGCCUUCCCUUCUUCCCACAAAAGAGAAGCCCAAAUCCGCCACCAGACCAGCCCAUCUGCCCGUGGAAACCAAGGGAACCAAAUGCAUCGUACUGGGUUGCAGGCCUUAAUCUAGCUCUCGCUGAAUUAUUCAGGGAUGGCAUUAACUUAUAAAUGAGUGUGUUUGACUGAUUUUGUGGUUGAUGUACAGAUAAAGUCUAAUGAAAGACAGUUAUAAGAUUUUAAAUUAUUAAUUAGACUGCCACUUAACAAAGCCUAUUUGGCACUCUAUUUUCUUGCUUAACAAGACAAAAACUUUAAGGAAAGGUUCUGUAUUAGCCCAGAGGCUCUGGAUUUGCAUUCUGUUUUCAUAGCUCUACACAGGAAAGCCACGGGUCCCGACCUUAAGUAGAGGCCACUUCUGGCAAAGCAAACCCCCCAGCGGGCCGCCCUUCCUUCCUGGAUGUUGCCGGGUGGCUUGGGGCCUCGCUUGCCCUGCUGCCUCUCACCUCUUAACCAGAGGCUUGCUUUUAAUAUCCCUGGUUUUGCCGGCUAGGCCACGAGAUGGAGAAGCAGGGAGGGCAGCUGCUGAAGCCUUCAGCUA